AACAAACGCUGGCGGCGUGUCUUAAGCAUGCAAGUUGAGCGGCAAGGAGGAGAGAUCCUCCCUAGAGCGGCGGACUGGUGAGUAACGCGUGGGUAAUCUAUCGUAGGCAUGGGGAUAGUCACUAGAAAUAGUGGGUAAUACCGAAUACGUUCCAUGAGGGGAGUAUUCAUGGAAGAAAGGGUGCUACGGCACUGGCCUUAGGUGAGCUCGCGUCCCAUUAGCUAGUUGGUGAGGUAAAGGCCCACCAAGGCGAUGAUGGGUAGCCGGCCUGAGAGGGUGUACGGCCACACUGGGACUGAGAUACGGCCCAGACUCCUACGGGAGGCAGCAGCUAAGAAUAUUCCGCAAUGGACGAAAGUCUGACGGAGCGACGCCGCGUGGAUGAAGAAGGCCGAAAGGUUGUAAAGUUCUUUUGCUAGGGGAGAAUAAGUGAGGAGGGAAUGCCCUCAUGAUGACAAGGACUAGCGAAUAAGCCCGGCCAACUACGUGCCAGC
rnacentral:rRNA from 1 species